rnacentral:rRNA from 1 species
GAUGAACGCUCGCUACAGGCUUAACACAUGCAAGUCGAGGGGAAACGACAUUGAAGCUUGCUUCGAUGGUCGUCGACCGGCGCACGGGUGAGUAACGCGUAUCCAACCUGCCUCUGACCAAGGGAUAACCCGUCGAAAGUCGGCCUAAUACCUUAUGCAGUCGUCGGAAGUCAUCUGAUGACGACGAAAGAUUUCAUCGGUGAGAGAUGGGGAUGCGUCUGAUUAGCUUGUUGGCGGGGUAACGGCCCACCAAGGCAACGAUCAGUAGGGGUUCUGAGAGGAAGGUCCCCCAAAUUGGAACUGAGACACGGUCCAAACUACUACGGGAGGCAGCAGUGAGGAAUAUUGGUCAAUGGGCGAGAGCCUGAACCAGCCAAGUAGCGUGCAGGAUGACGGCCCUAUGGGUUGUAAACUGCUUUUAUGCGGGGAUAAAGUGAGGGACGUGUCCUUCAUUGCAGGUACCGCAUGAAUAAGGACCGGCUAAUUCCGUG